GUCACAAAACAAGUAAGUCAGAUACUGGGUUUUAUGCAGUCGGACUCUGGCAAUGACAGUAAAAAAACAUGAAGUGCUUGCUUGCUUGCAGUGGAGUUCAUUACAGGAGAAGCUACUGAAGAGUGAGUUGGAGGAGUUGUCUCAGAUCUAAGUUUAAAACAAAUAAUCCAAAAGAUUUAGACUAGUAUCUGAAACAGUAGUCAAACAGUAUUCUACAGGGACCCAUAAAUUACAAUGGAAAUUGAGGCUGCAAAACUACAAACUGUGGAGUGUGCUGAAACUGGCUUGCUUGCAGUAGACAUGCUGCUAAAUGACCCACUAAGCAGAGUCAAAAUGUCUUUUUGGUAGAGGAACAUCAUGACUCUGAUCAUUCAGUAAACAUCACUGUGCUAUUGUGUAAAAGGUCCUUGAUCUGCUCACUCCUGAAUAUUGUGUGUGGGACCUGCUAUCUCAGAAAACAGUAUAGUAAAAAUGAAGGGAUAUAGUCUUAGGAAAAAUUGGGUGAUAUACUAGAAAUCAAUAAAAUUGUGGCUGUUUUGGCAAAGGUGAGAUGAGAAUGGAUAUUCUCUAUUUUUUUUCUAAAACAUGAACAAGGGGGGAACCCAACUGAACCAUUUGGAAGCAGUUUUAAAAACAAAACAAAUAAACAUAGUUUGGUUGUGUAACUUGUUGCCACAAAAGUUUUGAAAACUGGAAGGAUAAAUAGAUGCAAAGAAUUGUGGUAUAAAUUCAUGUAAGAAAGGUCAAUAAAAGCUAUUAAAAACAGUACUGUGCACAUGGCUUUCAGCUCAGGAAAUCUGUAGGACCCAGGUCAUUGGAACUGGUAGCAUAUAGGUUAAAAUAAUCCAUGGAAGUAGCAUAGUUAACUUCUUUCUUAUUUUUCCUAAGCAUCUGCUACUGUAAUCCUGUUAGGCACAAGAGAGUGGGCUGGGCAGAUCUUUGAUCUGGUGUAUUUGAUCAGUACUGUGAUUGAUACUGCUCUUUUUCUUCCAAAAAUGAAGUCUUACUGGAAAAUUGAUAAACUGGACUCACAUGAAAGUAUCUAAAAUACAAGUACAGUAGAUACAUUGGCAGAGUAGACACUGUCUUUUACCUGUUUGUUAAAAAAGAACAUUGGUGAAAUCACAUCCUAGCAGAUGGUGUUAAUUGUGUAUUCCCUACUUUAACUGUUGUGAAAGGUUUUGCAAGAGCACCGAGAACUUGGAUUCUGGUACUGUCCUACUAAAUAAUAGCUCGCUUAGUUGUGAGCAAGCCCUCCCUAUGGAGUAAUAACUCCCUAGUUCACCUAUGGGCAUAACACACCACAUAGAGCCAUGUGAACCAGAAAAUGUGUUUUUGGAAUACUUGUUCCUUGUGAUGAGUAGUGGGACUAUGUAAGGCAGCACCCAGAAAGACAUUCCUGGGCAUUUUGUUGUGCUAACAGCUAUUGAAGUGCUGGGACUCACUUGCACCCUGCUUUUAGAGCUGGUGAUGUUGAGCUGCUUUGGCAAAGCUGUUUUUCUUUUUAUUUAAUGCAUCAGAAAACCAAGAAAACAAGUAGAUGUAAGAAUGCAUUUGGAUUCCAGUGAACCUGCCUGGUACAUCACUCUAGAAACAAAAUUCCUGCUUACACACAGAAUUUACAGAAAAGAAAUUUGUUAAAACUGGUAUGAAGCUGCCAUGGUAAAAUCCAGAAGGAAAAUGCUUUGACUGUGAUUGUCAGAAAUUCAUGUUUCCCGUUUUUCAAAAUGGGACAUGAGUUGAACGUGUUUUAUGUUUCCUACAACUAGCAAUUUUCUUUCUUUGAAAUGUGUUAGAGGGAGGAGUCCAGAAGUGCUGUGGGAGGGACUAAAAUUCAUAUUAAAGUUUUAGCAUGAGAGGGAGAAUUGUCAGAGUAGAAGGUUUCUUCUGAGGUUUUGCUUUCUUAUUUUUUUUUUUUUCCAAUUUAGGAUGAUAAAUAUUCAUGUUCAGAUUCUUCUAACAAUUCUUUUUUGGAAUUCUGAUUGUCAGAUUAUUCCCAGGAUUGAAGAAUGUGGACUUUCAUGUUCUCAGGGGAUUCAUUGUAAAAGCAAGCCUUCCAGUGAUAUUUUUAACAGCUUCUGCCAUGAUGCUCCUGCAUCCUUACCUUCCAUGGUACUGAAAAGCAUGAAGAUCUCAACAGUGAUGAAAUGUGCCCAAGGAAGCCCAUGCUCUCUUCAUUUAAACAUUAAAGGAAUACUGAGUCUGGAUGAGAAUAUCCGUGGGCUGGAAAUCUGUUCUCUUUCACUGGACACACAGCAAUCUCAGUGCAUAAACGUGAGGUUUGCUAGGAAAAAAAGCAAGAUGCUUAAUGGAAAAAAGGUACAGAUACAAUUCAAUUGCAUUGAAGUCAAUGUAGCACAACACAUCUAUGUGACCAUGAAAACAGUACCAAAUUACUGUGAAGUCAAGCUGAGUCAGGAAUACUAUGUUGAAGAUUGCAGAAACAGUGAUGUGGGAAAAUAUAUUCCAGCUUGUUCAGCUGGAAAGUUUGAUUAUAAUGUGGACAGAGCAAGGAAAAUUAUUUCAGUGAAUGUAUCCAACUUUCUUCGAGAUCAAGAUUAUUACAUUCGCCUGUGCCACAAAUGGUUUACAUGUGAAGAUGUAGGAUCAUUUGCUAUGAUAAAAGGGAAGGAAUCACUAAAAUCAGUUUCUCUGAAAUAUUCUCGGCUGCUGCCUUGUCUUUGCAUUGAGGGCUGGCUGGCAAUUCCAGAUGCAAGGAGGAUACAACUUUGCCCUUUUGAAAAUGAUACGAAGGCACUAUGGGAUAAUAUUGUUUAUAACCCAGUGACACAAACCCUAGCUUGGGAGCCAGCCUGUCCUGUGCUUGUCAUUGUUAACCUAUGCAGGUUAAUGAAGUCUAAUGACUACUGUGAAGAUAUACAAAACUCUUCCAGAAGUUCUCCUGAGAAACAGGUUAAAUAUUCUCGUGUGGACACUCACCCAAGGCUUUGCAUGAAGUUUACAACCAAACAAGGCUCUUGGGUUAAAUGUCCAUUUGCUCAUGGAGAAUUUCCAGGGAGAUUCUGUAUCAAUUGCUAUGUCACAGGAAAUGUGUGGGUCAGCGUUUUGCAUUCAGGGCUGGAGGACAGAUGUAGAUUAUUCAGUUCCACUGCAGAUCUGUGAUAUCCACUGUGGUUUCCGUGGUCAGACAUAUAGCGAUGGAAACCCAGCAAAGGCUAUGGCACACAGAAUGAAGAGUGUGCAUUCCUUGCAUUGAAUUUAACAACACAUUUUGAAGGUCCUUAGUAUAUUGUCGACAUCAGGUUGUAUUUUGGUGUAACUUGCAAAUCUUGUCUAAAUGGUCAUCUCUCAUGUUGGUAGUUUCUACUAAUUACUGUGAGAUUAUUGUUGUGAGGGAAGCAUAUAGCAAGUUAGACUUAUUCUAACAUGUCCAAAAGAACAUGAAUUAUGAUUCCUUAUUUCCUAAUAUUUAAAACCAAAAAAUGUCUUAGAUCACUUAGAGAAUCAGGUUCACAUUUUCUUCUAAAUCGAUAUUAUACAUACAAUAUUCUAUAAAUGAGUAUUGUCAUAGUACCCUGUGUACCUAUAGAACAAGUAUUUCAGAUUUUCUUAUUUGUAACUUUUGUUUUUAAACCAUAAGCAAAAGUGUCUGAGAAAUUAAGAACGGAGGAAGUUUUCUCAGCUUCUUUACAUUAUCAUUCUUUGCAGUUUCCUUUGUUUUCUGAUGCCAUUCUGAUGAAUUCACCAUGACAGACCAUAUUCCUUAAAUAUAUCUAACAACUGCUUUCUGUGUUUGCAUUUGUAUUUGACUUGGAGAUAACUUUCUUAUUUGUCUGAGGAGGUACAUGUCUUUGGUUUGAUAGCUAUUUAAAACUGUCAUGUGGAAAUCCAGCCUAGAAGGAAACAGUUUAGUUGAAAUAAUUGAAGUAUUUUUUUUCCAUUAUAUCAGUAUUUAUACUCAAUUAUUCAAAAUAAUAUUACAUGCUGUACUGAUUAUCACGUUUGGCCUUUAUUUCCCUAAAUACUCCCUUCAAACAUCCUUACUUCCUGUUGUGCAACAAAGAAAGGAAGAAAGUCAACUAAAAGAUGAUUAUUAACAAAUCCUGAAACCAUGUGGAAUUGCUCAUAUGGGAUCAAGAAUAUGGGUGGGGAGUGAGGGUCUGGAACAAGAAGCUGAUCAAUAAAAAAAUACUUUCCA